UUCGUAGGUGGCCUGCUAAGUCAGACGUGAAAUCCCUCAGCUUAACUGGGGAACUGCGUCUGAUACUGGGGGGCUUGAGUGCAGGAGAGGAACGCGGAAUUCCAGGUGUAGCGGUGAAAUGCGUAGAUAUCUGGAGGAACACCGGUGGCGAAGGCGGCGUUCUGGACUGCAACUGACACUGAUGAACGAAAGCCAGGGGAGCAAACG
rnacentral:rRNA from 1 species